UACGAAGGGGGCUAGCGUUGUUCGGAAUUACUGGGCGUAAAGCGCACGUAGGCGGAUAGUUUAGUCAGGGGUGAAAUCCCGGGGCCCAACCUCGGAACUGCCUUUGAUACUGGCUAUCUGGAGGAUGGAAGAGGCAAGUGGAAUUCCGAGUGUAGAGGUGAAAUUCGUAGAUAUUCGGAGGAACACCAGUGGCGAAGGCGACUUGCUGGUCCAUUUCUGACGCUGAGGUGCGAAAGCGUGGGGAGCAAACAGG
rnacentral:ncRNA from 2 species